ACAAAAUCCAGCGGUGGUGUCGGCAAAAAAAGCGAACCUCAGAAAAAACACUCAUUUUUUUUGAAGAGAUCUGGUAAACAGUAAUAGAAAUGUAGAUAAGAGCAAAGAACACGGAAAGCUCUUUUUUGCGAAUGUUCAACAACAUGACAGACAUUAGCAGAAAAAGCACUCAACGAACAAAUGACAUAGAAAUGAGCAAAGAAAAUGGAAGUGAAAAG
ensembl:ncRNA F40H3.8 ncRNA